GACGAACGCUGGCGGCGUGCUUAACACAUGCAAGUCGAACGGAAAGGCCUUUUCGGAGGUACUCGAGUGGCGAACGGGUGAGUAACACGUGGGUGAUCUGCCCUGCACUCUGGGAUAAGCCUGGGAAACUGGGUCUAAUACCGGAUAGGACCGCACUUUAGUGUGUGUGGUGGAAAGUUUUUUCGGUGUAGGAUGAGCCCGCGGCCUAUCAGCUUGUUGGUGGGGUAAUGGCCUACCAAGGCGGCGACGGGUAGCCGGACUGGGAGGUUGGUCGGCCACAUUGGGACUGAGAUACGGCCCAGACUCCUACGGGAGGCAGCAGUGGGGAAUAUUGCACAAUGGGCGCAAGCCUGAUGCAGCGACGCCGCGUGGGGGAUGACGGCCCUCGGGUUGUAAACUCCUUUCGCCAGGGACGAAGCGUUUUGUGACGGUACCUGGAGAAGAAGCACCGGCUAACUACGUG
rnacentral:rRNA from 1 species